rnacentral:rRNA from 1 species
UACGUAGGGUGCAAGCGUUGUUCGGAUUCACUGGGCGUAAAGGGUGCGUAGGCGGUCGGGUAAGUCUGACGUGAAAUCUUCAAGCUCAACUUGGAAACUGCGUCCGAUACUAUUCGGCUAGAGGAAUGGAGGGGAGACUGGAAUACUUGGUGUAGCAGUGAAAUGCGUAGAGAUGUGGAGGAACACCAGUGGCGAAGGCGGCUUUUUGGUCUGUAACUGACGCUGAGGCGCGAAAGCGUGGGGAGCAAACAGG